rnacentral:rRNA from 1 species
UACAGAGGUCUCAAGCGUUGUUCGGAUUCAUUGGGCGUAAAGGGUGCGUAGGCUGGCGCGGUAAGUCGGGUGUGAAAUUCGAUGCUUAACUCCGAAACUGCAUUCGAUACUGCCGUGCUUGAGGACUGGAGAGGAGACUGGAAUUUACGGUGUAGCAGUGAAAUGCGUAGAUAUCGUAAGGAAGACCAGUGGCGAAGGCGGGUCUCUGGACAGUUCCUGACACUGAGGCACGAAGGCCAGGGGAGCAAACGGG